rnacentral:rRNA from 1 species
AUAAUAAUUAUUUAUUAAUUUUAUUAGUAUUUUAUUUAUUUUAUUAAAAAUAAUUUUAUAAAUUAUAUUUUUAGUAUUUUAUAAAAAACAAAUAAUUUUUAUGAUAGUUUAUUAGUAUUGUGAAAGAAAAUUGAAAUAAUUUGAAAAAUUUUUAUUUUUAAAGUAAAUUUAAUUUAUUGUACCUUGUGUAUCAGGGUUUAUCAAAUAUAUAAUAAAUUUUUAUUAAUCUCGAAUUUAAAAGAGUUAUUAAAUUAUAAAAGUUAAUGUAUUAAAAUUAUUUUUAAUAAUUUAAUAGAAAUGAAAAGUUAUUCGUUUUUAAAUUUAUCUAGUUUUUUAAGAAAUGAAUUUAAUUCAUAAUUUUAGUUGUAUUUUAUUAAUUUAUUAAUAAAAUAUAAAUAAAAUUUAAUAUUUUAUGGGAUAAGCUGUAAAAUAAAUUUUUAAAAAUUAAUUUUAUAUUAUAUAAAUAUAUGUUUAGAAUUAGCAAUUAUUAAUAAUUUUGUUAUAAAUUAUUUAUAAAAAUAUAUGAUUUAUUAUAUUUUAAGUUUUUAUUAAAAUUUUUAUUUUAAUUUUUAAAAUAAAGUAAUAAUGAUAAAAUUAGUAUAUUAUUUUGUAAAAAUAAUUUUUAUUGAAAAGUGUAUAUAAAGAAUUCGGCAAAAUUAAUGUUCGCCUGUUUAACAAAAACAUGUCUUUUUGAAUUAAAUAAAAAGUCUGACCUGCCCAUUGAUAUUUAUUUAACGGCCGCAGUAUAUUAACUGUGCAAAGGUAGCAUAAUCAUUAGUCUUUUAAUUGAAGGCUGGAAUGAAUGGUUGGACGAAAUAUUAACUGUUUCAUAUAUAAUUAUAGUAGAAUUUAAUUUUUUAGUUAAAAAGCUAAAAUAUUGUUAAAAGACGAGAAGACCCUAUAAAUCUUUAUAUUAAUUAAUUUAUUUAAUUUUAUAGAAUUAUUUUAUUAUUAAAUUAUUUAAUAUUUUAUUGGGGUGAUAGUAAAAUUUAUUAAACUUUUAUUUUAUUUAAACAUUGAUUUAUGAAUUUUUGAUCCAUUUUUAAUGAUUAAAAAAUUAAGUUACUUUAGGGAUAACAGCGUAAUAUUUUUGGAGAGUUCUUAUUGAUAAAAAUGAUUGCGACCUCGAUGUUGGAUUAAGAUAUAAUUUUAGGUGCAGCCGCUUAAAUUUAAAGUCUGUUCGACUUUUAAAUUCUUACAUGAUCUGAGUUCAAACCGGUGUGAGCCAGGUUGGUUUCUAUCUUUAAUAAAUUAAAAUAUUUUAGUACGAAAGGAUUAAAUAUUUGAAUUUUUAAAUUUUUUAUAUUGAAUAUAAUUAAUA